AUGGGAACGCGAAGAACCUUACCUACCCUUGACAUGGCAGGAAUCCUGAAGAGAUUUGGGAGUGCUCGAAAGAGAACCUGCACACAGGUGCUGCAUGGCUGUCGUCAGCUCGUGUCGUGAGAUGUUGGGUUAAGUCCCGCAACGAGCGCAACCCUUGCCAUUAGUUGCUACAUUCAGUUGAGCACUCUAAUGGGACUGCCGGUGACAAACCGGAGGAAGGUGGGGAUGACGUCAAGUCCUCAUGGCCCUUAUAGGUGGGGCUACACACGUCAUACAAUGGCUGGUACAAAGGGUUGCCAACCCGCGAGGGGGAGCUAAUCCCAUAAAGCCAGUCGUAGUCCGGAUCGCAGUCUGCAACUCGACUGCGUGAAGUCGGAAUCGCUAGUAAUCGUGGAUCAGAAUGUCACGGUGAAUACGUUCCCGGGUCUUGUACACACCG
rnacentral:rRNA from 1 species